rnacentral:lncRNA from 1 species
UGUGUCCUGCUGCUCAGCAUCACGAGGCUCAGCACCCACCAUGGCCCUGCGCAUCCUGCUGCCUCUGCUCCUGCUGGCUGCUUCUCUCCUGCUCCACCAGGCUGAAGGUGUGGACAAUCCGGCUUCAGACUGCUGCCUGAAGACCAGCCAGAAGACCAUCCCCAUCAAGUUGGUGAAGACCUACAGCAUCCAGGGCCCUGAGUCAGGAUGUGUGCUGCGUGCUGUUGUGUUCACCACCAAGAAGAACAUGAAAAUCUGCUCCUCUCCUACCGACCCCACUGUCCAGAAGCUGAUCAAGAGCCUGGACAACAGAAGAAAAAACCCUUCCCAGCGCAAACCCAAGAGGCAGAAGAGGAAGCAGGUCUAAGGCAGGCCCGGAGAGGACAAGCACUUUCCCCUCUGACCACCGACCCACCAACCGGCAAUGGACAUCUGCAGCACACUCACCUUCCAGCGCUGGGGCAAGAGGGGACUGUGCUCUUCCCCAUGUCCCCCUCCCCUCUGUCGGCACCCCCUCUCCCCAGCAGGGAGCUGAGCCCCAGCAGUGAGCACCUUCACCAUGGUGGGGGGGUUCCUGCAAGGCACCUGGUGGGAUGGCAGCUUCGUUUGGGGAUAUUAUACAUUUGUAUUUAUAUUAAAAACUCUGCUUUACACAGUUGCACCUGGGGGGCUCUGCUUGCAGCUUCACAGAGCACCUUUUAUGCUGCUUUUUUGGAAGAUGGCUCUUAUUUUUAUACCAAAUAAAUGAUGGCUGCAAUUCGUUCUCCUCUAUCCUACUUGCUCCUUUCCAGCUUCCAAACAGUAGCGCCCAGGGCCAAGGUGCUGCAUCCCAUUAACAUCCACAGUGGCUGAGAGCAGCAUGGCGACUGCAGAUUCUGCUGUAGUGCUGGGUUGGGGCUUUUGGCUUUUACAACAAGCUUUUGCAGUAUCACAGUAGGAAGAUAGGUUUUUCCAAAUAUUCUUUGAUUUUUUUUCAAUCCUUUUAAGUAUAAAAUUGCAAUGAAGUCAGAGAAAACUUUUCAUUUUAGUGCAAUUUUACCGCUUUGUCCUCAGUUGUUUUUGCUGUAUUCAGAGAUUCAGACAUUAUUAAGCAAAGUGCUUUGCUUUCAGGAACGAUAAAAGAAAUUCUCUUACGCUUUCUUCUCCAAAACGAAAUGUGUGCACGGUGGAAAUAGUGCACAGAAGGCUAUGCAGGUGCAGCAAUAGAAGAAUCUGCAGAAUUCGUUGCUGAUACAAUAGUGAGCUGCUCUAUCAAACCCUGAGCACACUGAAAGGUGAGGCUGCAAGCGGGUGGGUGGACAGAUCCCCUGUCUGCAGUCUGCCUGCUGUGCUGAGGAACAAUGGAAAGGCUCAGUAAAAGCCACAGUGCUGUUUGCUUUUGGCCUUCAGACGUGGACUUCAGUCAGUAAGCAUCUAUUAAGCUGUAUGAUUACAGUAAUAGGAUUUGUGGGGCUUAACAAUUUCAGCAUAGGAAGUGUGCUGGCUGGGGAACACUUGUUGCUGAGUGCUUCUAUUGAGUGCAUUUAUAUGGCUGAUUGCUUUAUCUGGUGAGCGUUGAGGUGUAUUCUUUUAAGACUGUAAAGAAACUGUGAAGAACCCGAUACCGACCCUGGGCACUGAGCCGGCCCUGUGCCACAGUGCGGCUGUCCGGGCUCCAGGCAGGAUGCAAGGCAAUAAAACAUAUCCUUCAAACA